CCCGCUGAACUUAAGCAUAUCAAUAAGCGGAGGAAAAGAAACUAACAAGGAUUCCCCUAGUAACUGCGAGUGAAGCGGGAAAAGCUCAAAUUUAAAAUCUGGCGGUCCUUGGCCGUCCGAGUUGUAAUCUAGAGAAGUGUUAUCCGCGUUGGACCGUGUACAAGUCUCCUGGAAUGGAGCAUCAUAGAGGGUGAGAAUCCCGUCUUUGACACGGACUACCAGUGCUUUGUGAUGCGCUCUCAAAGAGUCGAGUUGUUUGGGAAUGCAGCUCUAAAUGGGUGGUAAAUUCCAUCUAAAGCUAAAUAUUGGCGAGAGACCGAUAGCGAACAAGUACCGUGAGGGAAAGAUGAAAAGAACUUUGGAAAGAGAGUUAAACAGUACGUGAAAUUGCUGAAAGGGAAACGCUUGAAGUCAGUCACGUUGGCUAGAAAUCAACCUUGCUUUUGCUGGGCGUACUUUCUGGUUAACGGGUCAGCAUCAAUUUUGACCAUUGGAAAAAGUUCAGAGGAAUGUGGCAUCUUCGGGUGUGUUAUAGCCUCUGUUCGCAUACAAUGGUUGGGAUUGAGGAUCUCAGCACGCCGCAAGGCCGGGUUUCGACCACGUUCGUGCUUAGGAUGCUGGCAUAAUGGCUUUAAUCGACCCGUCUUGAAACACGG
rnacentral:rRNA from 1 species